rnacentral:piRNA from 1 species
UGGUUCUGUCUAUCCCAUGGUCAAGGAC